rnacentral:rRNA from 1 species
AGCGAACGCUGGCGGCAGGCCUAACACAUGCAAGUCGAACGAAGUCUUCGGACUUAGUGGCGGACGGGUGAGUAACACGUGGGAACGUACCUUUUGGUUCGGAACAACUCAGGGAAACUUGAGCUAAUACCGGAUGAGCCCUUAGGGGGAAAGAUUUAUCGCCGAAAGAGCGGCCCGCGUUAGAUUAGCUAGUUGGUGAGGUAAAGGCUCACCAAGGCUACGAUCUAUAGCUGGUCUGAGAGGAUGAUCAGCCACACUGGGACUGAGACACGGCCCAGACUCCUACGGGAGGCAGCAGUGGGGAAUCUUGCGCAAGGGGCAAAAGCCUGACGCAGCCAUGCCGCGUGAAUGAUGAAGGUCUUAGGAUUGAAAAAUUCUUUUACCAGGGACGAUAAUGACGGUACCUGGAGAAAAAGCCCCGGCUAACUUCGUGCCAGCCGCCGCUGUAA